rnacentral:rRNA from 1 species
UACGUAGGGCGCGAGCGUUGUCCGGAAUUAUUGGGCGUAAAGAGCUCGUAGGUGGCUUGUCGCGUCUGCCGUGAAAGCCCGUGGCUUAACUACGGGUCUGCGGUGGAUACGGGCAGGCUAGAGGCUGGUAGGGGCAAGCGGAAUUCCUGGUGUAGCGGUGAAAUGCGCAGAUAUCAGGAGGAACACCGAUGGCGAAGGCAGCUCGCUGGGACGGUACUGACGCUGAGGCGCGAAAGCGUGGGGAGCAAACAGG